AUAGCUAUUCUUUUGUUGAUAUUGUUUCUUCAUCCUCAUUACUUCCUAUGUGAAAUCUGUCCAGGCCCAGUGGUUCUUGAGAAGAAGAUUUUUAAAAGAUGCCAUUAAAUUUUCAUUAUUCUUAAUUACCUCCCAUUGAAAGAGGAUGUGCCCCUCAUUUGAACAAAAUUGAAUUCCCUUGACCCAAGGAUGCCCCGUGCCAAGUUUAGUUGAAAUUGGUCCAAGGGUUCUGGAGAAGAUGAUAAUUGUGAAAAAUACUGGUAGAUGACAAUAAUGACAACAGCAACAGACAAAUUUUGAUAAGAAAAGCUCACUUCAGCCUUCAGCUCAGACUCGUUUACAUCAUUAUGAUCAACCCUUUGAUGUUGACAAAAACAAAACAACUGGCGGUAGAAACCAUAAAGUGAUGAAAAUUGUUACUGAAGAAAAUUCAGCUCAGGGAUUCCAUUUCACAUAUGAGACUUCCUCAAUCCACAACAUUCUUUUCUUCAUCACGUCAAUUUAUCCUGAGCUUCUUGACAAUUUUAAUUUAAAAUUCUUUAGUAUUCUAAUGAUAGAAUAUUUUACCUCUUUGAAUUGCCAAGAAUGAUUGCAUGCCGCUUUUAUUUUUGCUCUUAAGAGAAAUACUAAAUUGUCAUAAGAGUUAUAUUCUACGAACAAAUGGUCAAAACAGUUGGAGAAGAAUUGAGAGGUUAUGGGGAAUGAUUCAUCUGGAUCAUUUACAAUAAAUCAGAGCUGUCUAAUCGACUUUAUACACUUGUAUAUCGGAAA